rnacentral:rRNA from 1 species
AUUGAACGCUGGCGGCAGGCCUAACACAUGCAAGUCGAACGAGAGGCGGACGGGUGAGUAAUUUCUGGGAAACUGCCUGAUGGAGGGGGAUAACUACUGGAAACGGUAGCUAAUACCGCAUACCAUCAGAUGUGCCCAGAUGGGAUUAGCUAGUGGGUGGGGUAACGGCUCACCAAGGCGACGAUCCCUAGCUGGUCUGAGAGGAUGACCAGACACACUGGAACGGAGACACGGUCCAGAGUCUGACGGGAGGAAGCAGUGGGGAAUAUUGCACAAUGGGCGCAAGCCUUAUGCAGCCAUGCCGCGUGUAUGAAGAAGGCCUUCGGGUUGUAAAGUACUUUCAGCGGGGAGGCGUUACUCGCAGAAGAAGUACCGGCUAACGCCGGGCCAGCAGCCGCGGUAAUAC